rnacentral:lncRNA from 1 species
AAGAAGAAGAAGAGAAAGAAGAAAAAGAAGAAGAAGAAGAAUGACAAGAAGAAGAAGAAGAGAAAGAAGAAAAAGAAGCAAAAGAAGAAGAAGGAGAAGAAGCAGAAGAAGAAGGAGAAGAAGGAGAAGAAGCAGAAGAAGAAUUAAUGAAGAAGAAAAGGAAGGAGGAGGAGAAGGAGAAAAAUAAUGGGGGGUAAUAUAGUCUUUUACUAUAUUUUUAACGGCAAAAAUAGACAGAAGGACUAUUUCGUUGACGGAGAGAAAACAUAAGGACGUUUUAAUAGGUUUCUAAAAAUACAGGGACUGACUUGUUAAUAAUGGUAAUACCCAGGGA